rnacentral:rRNA from 1 species
CGCUGAACUUAAGCAUAUUAAUAAGCGGAGGAAAAGAAACUAACAAGGAUUCCCCUAGUAACGGCGAGUGAAGCGGGAAGAGCUCAAGCUUAAAAUCUCCGUGCAAGUUUUGUGCGGCGAAUUGUAGUCUAUAGAGGCGUGGUCAGCGUGGGCGCUUGGGGCAAGUUCCUUGGAAGAGGACAGCAUGGAGGGUGAUACUCCCGUUCAUCCCUGAGUUGCUCGUGCGUACGGCCCGUUUUCUUUGAGUCGCGUUGUUUGGGAAUGCAGCGCAAAGUAGGUGGUAAAUUCCAUCUAAAGCUAAAUAUUGGUGCGAGACCGAUAGCGAACAAGUACCGUGAGGGAAAGAUGAAAAGAACUUUGAAAAGAGAGUUAAAGAGUACCUGAAACUGCUGAAAGGGAACCGAAUCGUUUCCAGUGUCUAUAAUCCGUGGUAUAUUUCAUUGGCGAGUGUGUGCGUGCGUGUGCUGUGGCAGCGGCUUUUUAGGCUGCGCUCGGCGUGUGUGCUGUGUGUGCUUGCUGGUGCCCUGUACUGCGGUGGGACGUCAAGGUCAGUUCGUAUGCUGCGGGAAAUGGCUGCCGAGGAGGUAGGGCUUACGCUUGCGUUUGUCUGUUAUAUCUUGGUGGACGAGUAGUCGCGGUUGGGACUGAGGUGCCUACAACGUGCUUUUGAGUGGGUUUGUGUCUCCGUGUGCGCCGUGUGCGGAUAGCUUGCUAUGCGUGUGUGGUUGUGUGUGGAUUGAUGCGGGCUUUAACUUGUUGCCGUUCGGGACGUUGACGAAAUGGAGCGAUUCGACCCGUCUUGAACACGGACCAAGGAGUCUAACAUGUGUGCAAGUGUUAGGGUGUGGAACCCCAGCGCGAAAUGAAAGUAAAGGGCAACGUAAGUUGUCUGAGGUAGGAAAUGCUGUGGGCUUCGGUCUGCGGUGUGGCACUAUCGACCGAUCAUGAACCUUCGUGGUGAAAGAUUUGAGUUUGAGCACAUAUGUUGGUACCCGAAAGAUGGUGAACUAUGCCUGAGUAGGGUGAAGCCAGGGGAAACUCUGGUGGAAGCUCGUAGCGAUUCUGACGUGCAAAUCGAUCGUCAAACUUGGGUAUAGGGGCGAAAGACUAAUCGAACCAUCUAGUAGCUGGUUCCCUCCGAAAUUUCCCUCAGGAUAGCAGCAACUUAUUUACGAUAGUUUUAUGAGGUAAAGCGAAUGAUUAGAGGAUUCGGGGAAGAAACUUCCUCGACCUAUUCUCAAACUUUAAAUCUGUAAGACCUGCAGGUUUCUUAAUUGAACUUGUGGAUGUGAAUAUCAAGUUGCUAGUGGGCCAUACGGGGUAAGCUCGUCUGGCG